rnacentral:lncRNA from 1 species
ACCCACGGUUGAAGACAAGGAUGUACAUCUUCCGAGAGCGGUUCCGGUACUGGGUCUGGGAGCCCACACACUCAUCCACAUAGAGCUUCAUGGCCCAGUUUAGCGCAGGCUGGAUGCGGGCUUCGAGGGUCAGCCACGAGCCUUCCACGUAGGGAGGCAGCAAGGCAUCUGAGGGAAGCGGGUCAUUCCUGGUAAGCAGUCACGGCCAUCCUCUAACAAGCAUCUCCUGCACGCCUGGUCAGUCACAGCCACGUUUCCAUUUACUCCUGAAUGGUUCUAGAAGUGUUCUUUAUGUCCAUUUUACAGAUGGGGUGAUGGAGGCUUGGAGAGGUGGCUGAACUUCAGCUCUCUUACCCUGGUCUCAUCUACCAUGCACACCUGUCCCACCAGGGGUGGAAGGCUGAGGCCAGAAACAGGAUGGUGCCCAUGGCCCACAUUUUGCCCUCCUCUGGGGCAAUCCUCAGGGGUCCACACUCCAUCUCCCUCCACACACGCCAGCCGGAGACUCACCAUGUGGUACCCGGAGGGCCACCUGCAGGGGCAGCAUGGUGGGGGGGCGGGGUGAGGGCUCCUUGGAGGGGCCCUCCAGAGGGCCAGGUGGGGUCUAGGAUGGGCCUGCUGCUGCAGAAUUGUUCAUCUCCUGCCCGAGGAGCAGCCUGGGCUGGGGGGCUGCAGAAGAAGGGGCACCAUCAAGAAGGUCCAGUGGGUCCCCACAGCCAGACUGGAGGACAGGCUCCCUCAGGGGAGGGAACGGGAGUGAGAGGGCUGAAGGGAAGCUGCUCACAUGAGUAUCAUCACAGCUGCCAUGAGGGGUACUCACCCACCCUCUGUGAACCGCGUGACCGCCUCCAUUUCCCAGACGUACAAACUGAGCCUGGGAAGUCCUGCCACCAUCUGCCCCUGGUUGCACGCAGCUUAUCAGCUGCAGAGCUCAGAUUCAAACUCCCAAGGGCUUUUCCAGGAACAUUUGAAGGUUGGAGGUGUUGUAUGGCAAGAUUCAGAUGAUACCAAGCGGUGUUAACAUGAAAGCUGAGUUUCCUUUCCCCUCUCCCUACCACUACUUGCUUUUUGUCCCUGUGAGCAACCGGCCUGUGUGUAGCACGCUCACCCCUGCAAGGUCCCCAGCUAAUUCUUUGUACCCUUUGGACUCCUGACCACCUUGCACACUGCCUCUGAGAGGAUUAUCUUGACCCAGAGGGCCUAGGGCAGACGAAGGACCAGAAAGGAGUUUGGGGGUUUUUUAAAAAGAAGAAGAAUGUAAGGCAUUUCUUUAGUGUUUGUUUAAUGUCUACUGCAUGCCAAGCUCUGCCCUAGAGGCCAGGGGUGCGGAGGGGGCGGUGAGCCUCAAGAAGCAGGAUUACCCUGGACUCCAGAGGGUCCUGUUUGGGAGGAAGUCCCCUCCUCCCAGUAUCCCCAGGCUGCCAAGUCCAGCUCCUGCAGCAGCCCAGGCUGGGCGAGGUGGGACGAGUUAUCCUUGAGGGGGCUCACCAGGUACACGGCUGGCAGGGGGAGGCUGAGCUCAGGGGCAGGGAGGGCAGAAGGAGGACCCCCACGCACCUCUCGAGCUCCCAAGCAAGCCCCAUUGCCCAGACCUUACGGAGCAGCAAGACCACAGCAACCUGCAGAAGCCCCCUAGGGGCUGCCAUAAUGAACAGAAACC